GGAGUGAUAUCGAAGUGGUCAUAACGAGGCGCACUCGAAAUGCGUUAGUCCUGAAAAGGGCCCGUGGGUUCGAAUCCCACUCACUCCGCCA
rnacentral:tRNA from 1 species